GCAAGUCGAACGGUACAGGGAGCUUGCUCCGCUGACGAGUGGCGAACGGGUGCAGUAAUAUAUCGGAACGUACCCAAGAGUGGGGGAUAACGUAGCGAAAGUUACGCUAAUACCGCAUACGAUCUAUGGAUGAAAGCAGGGGACCUUCGGGCCUUGUGCUCCUGGAGCGGCCGAUAUCUGAUUAGCUAGUUGGUGAGGUAAAGGCUCACCAAGGCGACGAUCAGUAGCUGGUCUGAGAGGACGACCAGCCACACUGGAACUGAGACACGGUCCAGACUCCUACGGGAGGCAGCAGUGGGGAAUUUUGGACAAUGGGCGCAAGCCUGAUCCAGCAAUGCCGCGU
rnacentral:rRNA from 1 species